AAUAGGUAGGACGUGUCGG
rnacentral:snRNA from 1 species